UACGGAGGGUGCGAGCGUUGUCCGGAAUCAUUGGGCGUAAAGGGCGCGUAGGUGGCCCGGUGAGUCUUUGGUGAAAGCGCGGGGCUCAACCCUGCGUCGGCCAGGGAUACUGCCGCGGCUCGAGCACUGUAGAGGCAGGCGGAAUUCCGGGUGUAGCGGUGGAAUGCGUAGAGAUCCGGAAGAACACCGGUGGCGAAGGCGGUCUGCUGGGCAGUAGCUGACACUGAGGCGCGACAGCGUGGGGAGCAAACAGG
rnacentral:rRNA from 1 species